AUGAGAUAUUUUUUCUCUGCUGAUGAAGAUGGCAUUAAUGUUGCCUUCAACUUCACUAAACUUCAGUCUUCUUCUUGUCUCCUGGCCUCGGACCUCCCUCUCACACCAAUCCUUGCAGAAUCCAGAUGGCCUAAGCACAGAGUUCUCUCUCCUCAGUUUUCUCAGUGCAUUUACUUCAGAAAAUUUGUAACUGUAGAUAAUUUUUGUGACCCUUUGAAAUGUAAAUUUCUUUAAAAAACGUAUUCCAAUUUUUUUAUUUUUAAUUACUAUGAGUAAUAGUUGUCUGUAUUACUAAGUUACUUAAUUACUAUGAGUAAUAGUUGUCUAUAUUUAAAAGUUGCAUGUUAUGCUUUGAUACAGGUAUACAAUGUGUAAUGAUCGGAGUAAUCAGAGUAUCUGUCAUCUUAAGAAUUUAUCAUUUUGUGUUGAGAACAUUUUAAUUCUACCCUUUUAGCUUUUUAACAUGUAUAAUGCAUUAUUUUUUAACUAUAGUUAUCCUAUUGUAUUACAAUAUUAGAUCCAUUAUACUAGUUCUAAUUUUCUCUAAUUGUAUUUUUGUACCCUUUAACCAUGCCCACUUUAUGUCUCUGUCCCCACUAUCUUCCCAGCCUCUGGUAAUCAUCAUUCUACUCUGUUCUCUGGGUUCAAUUUUUCUUUUAGCUCCAUAUUUAAGUGAGAACCUGUGAUAUUUGUCUUUCCAUGCCUGGCUUAUUUCACUCAACAAAAUAUCCUCCAGUUUCAUCCUUGUUUUUACAAAUGAAAGGAUUUUAUUCAUUUUAUGUCUAAUAUUUCAGUGUGCAUAUGUACCACAUUUUCUUUAUACAUUCAUCCAGUGAUGGGCCCUUGGGUUGAUACCUUGGCUAUUUUAAAUACUGUUGCUGAUAUUCCCAGAUAUGCAAGUGCAGAUAUUCCUUCAUAUGGCUUUUUGAGGACAUUCCAAACUGUUCUCCAAAGUGGUUAUACUAAUUUACCUUCCCACCAAUGGUGUACCAGGGUUUCAUUUUCUCCAUAGUCUCUCUAGCAUUUGUUAUUGCUUUUUUUUUUUUUUUAUAUAAAAGCGAUUUUAACUGGGAAGAGAUAAUAUCUCAUUGUAGUUUUGGUUUGCUUUUCUCUGAUAAUUAGUGAUAUUAAGCACUUCUUUCAUACACCUCUUGGCUAUUUCUAUUCUUUUGAGAAAUGUCUGUUCAAAUAUUUUGCUUAUUUUAAAAUGAAUUAUUAUUAUUUUUAAUUGAGUUGUUCGAGUUCCUUAUAGAUUCUGGUUAUUAAUCCUUUGUCAGAUAAGUAGAUUGUAAAUAUUUUCUUCCAGUCUGUGGGUUGUUAAUUCACUUUUACUUCAUUUAGAAAAACCUAAACAUUCCACCAAAUACUGUUAAAACUGAUGAAUUCUUACAGGAUUCUAGAACAACAUACAAAAAUCAGCAGUAUUUUCAUAUGCCAACAGCAACAAUCUGAAAAAGAAACCAAGAAAGUAAUCCUAUUUUACAACAGAUACAAGUAAUAUAAAAUACAUCAAAAUAAAUUUAACCAAAAAAGUGAAAGAUAUCUACA
rnacentral:lncRNA from 13 species